GAAAUUAUUUAGAUUUUCUUGGUUUUCUUUCGUUGGCAUUUUGCAUUUAAAUUCAAUCUUUGCUAUUGUUUCUCUUUGGGGGAGUUAACUACUACCAAUAUAUGUACACACACACACACAUACAUACUAUCCUAUUUUCACCUGGUCUCAAUACAUGGCUAAUUGCUUGCCUGCACACUAAGGGGUUAAGUUGGACAUCCAAAAGUAUGACUAUAGAUGUCCCCACCAGAGAUAUACCCUCUCCACAAGCUUUAAUUAAGCCAAAGAACACCUUAGUAAUGGUGGAAUUGUUAAAUCUAUUCAUAAACCAUUCCCAUCACUCAUUAAUUAGAUUUAAUGGUACCCCCACUCCUAACGUGUUAUUUGGCUAAAGCAUGUGGAGAGGGUGCAUCUUUGGUGGUAGCAUCUCUGUUUAUACUUUUGGAUGUCCAUCUUAAACCACUCAGUGUAUAGUCAAGUGAUUAAUCAUGCAUUUAGAAUAGGUCAAAAGAAUAAAGUCUGUGUAUAAAUUAGUAACAGUUGAAAGAUGGAAGUGAUGUUAUUCCUCCAAAUGAUGAAGACUGAAAUAACUUGGAAAAUUACCAAACCAACUAAAUCUGAUCCAUCUUUUUACACCCUUAUAUUUAAUUUUUACAAUGAAAAUGCUAAGAAGUUAACUACUAAUCAGUAAUGUUAAUUGUUUAGAUUACUUUUCCAUGCUCCUUACAAUCUCACGGUAAUUUUCCUUGCAUGAUCAUUCAGUUAUAAGAUAGUAUAUUCAAUUUCUAAUCCCACACAAUUGUACUACACAUAAAUACAGACUUAAUACUUAUUUAAAGCAUAUUCUCAUCUUUUUAAUCCACUUUGAAUGUUAGUAUUCAAUUUUCUCCAGUUGGGCUCAUCAAAUUUGAUUAUAAUGUUAACUCUCUAUCAUACUUAUUUAAAAUGAGCGUACAAUUUAGGUUGCUGAUAGGUUUCCUCAUUUCUUCAUUGGUAAUCUGUAUUUUUGCUUAUUUUUCAUUCUUGGGAGUUUUGUGAAGACUUAAUGUGUUCAACUUCUUUUUUUUUUUCAAUUUCUAUCAACUUCUUUUUUUUCAAUUUCUAUUCUCUGUGGUUUUCUAUCAUGUGAUUCGAGUGUCAUGUAAUUACAGGUUCUAAUAUAAUUUUUCCAGUGCCUUAACAACAAAUUAUGUCACUGUUGAUAUUGCAGAUGAUCAACUUGCACAAAUUACAAGCAAUACCAAACCAGCCCUUCAUCUCUUCUAUCGUUCACCGCUUCACCGCAGAAAAACUUAAACCACAUCCCUGUCAAGUUUCAAUCACCAUCUCUCAGCUUUGUGAUCUGUAGACUGCUACAGAAGCUUGAUUUGUUCAAGUCGGCAAUAACUGUAGAGGUAAGCUCUCUGAUAAAUCUUCUAAUUCACUCUUUAUUUCCACUGCUGACGAUGCCGAUCGAAUUCAAUUACAGAGCCUGCACCAUCCCCUACAUAUUCCCUUCCAACAAUCCCCGCAAGCCCACUCCCACUGAGCUCUCCUGGAUCGACCUCUUCUACAAUUCCACCCCCUCCUUCAAGAAACGAGCUGAGUCUGACGCUUCGGUUCCCGACGCUCCGGCAAGAGCUAAGAAAUUUGCUCAAAGAUACACACUUUACUGAUUGUUUUGCGAUGAGUGAAUUGGGUUUUCGGAAAUGCCUGCAAUUUUUUGUAUUUUUGCCUGAAGGGUACACUGAGAUACUGGAGGACUUGAAAAAGGAUCCUGAGAGUCACGGCGGCCCGCCGGAUUGCAUUCUUCUUUGCAGACUUCGGGAGCAAGUUCUUAGGGAGUUGGGAUUCCAAGAUAUAUUCAAGAAAGUUGAGGAUGAAGAGAAUGCCAAGGCAAUAUCCCUGUUUGAGAAUGUAUUGGAUCUUAAUGAUGCUAUUGAAGAUGAAGUCAAGGUUCUAAAAUCCUACGUUCCUUAUUUUUGGUUUUUGGGAUGGUUGUGCUUUUGUGUAAAGCUGGAUCUGCAGGGUGUUGGUCUCUGUUAUCAUCGGCGAUCCCACAGUUGGGACUGUUGUCAUACAAGUUGAAUUGAACUCAGGCUAAAAUGUUGUUGUUUUCUGAAGCCCUCUGUACUCAAGCUAAGUUCCAUUGCGUACUCGGAUGAGUUGGUUUGUUCUAAGUUUCGGAUAAAGAAUUAUUCCCAUCUGGGUAUAUAUACAUUCAACUCCAAACAUUAUAUAACCGAAGGUAUGCAAGAAUCAAUGUUGAUUUAAAUAGAGAGUAUUCUGUAUGUAUUAAAAAACAUUUGACACCAGAGUAAACCUAUUUAACUAUUGACUUAUCAGUUCUGAUCAUUUUUCUCCCCUCAAACAAAAUGCAAUUUUAACCGUGCAAGGUUAGGAAUAUGCACCUCUCUCCUUGGGGUUUUCAGUGAUGUGUUUUAAUAGAAUUAUAGAUUUGAGUAAUUAGAUAUUUCAGUGCUGUUAUUUUUUUUUAACAAUUUAUGAUGCUAUGUGUAAAAAUUGGUUAGGUAUUUUUUUAACAACUAUAAUAUCAUUUAAUUCCAAUUCAUAAUUACUUCUUUUGUUAAUCUGAUAGUAAAUUUUUAUACUUUAUGUCCAAAUACAUAUAUAGUAAUGUAUACAUAUAACUUAUUAAGUUUUUUAAUGUUGCUGAGCAUUUUGAGUGUUCAUUUUGUGUGUAGAGAGUGAAAAGUGCACUGCUCACAAAGGCAAACAAAGAAUAGCUUCUACAUAUGGGAAGAAGAGUGGUUGGUUGAUCGUGGUUGCUUUUUUGAUUCGGUUAAAUUGAAGUUGGCUUGCGUCUAAUUUAGUUGUUUGCUUGCACAGGUUGAAGUCACUAGCUUUAUUAAUGCUGGUGACCGAGAUAAAACCCGAGUUCAUGUUAAAAUGAUAUCAUAAUUUUCGUUAUAUUGAGAACUGAGAAUUUAGACCCUUUUUUUAUCUUUCCCAUUUUUGAAAUUUAAAAAUUGAAUUACUUUUCUAUACCUUUUUGUGAUCAUACACUGAGAAUUUGUUAAUUGUAUAAAAUGAGAAUUGUUAUUAGCAUUCCAAAACUCUCAUUCUACACUCCAAACUUUCUAUAUUAGAAAAGAAAAAUACACUUGUGAGGAGUGUAGAAUGAGAUUUUUGGAGUGCCAAUAACACUUCCCUUAAUAUUAUGAGGUAGGAUUUAUACUUUCUAAGAUCCAUUUCUCAUGUUUAGAGAUUGCUUGAUUUAAUUACAUGUGAUAUAAGUUGAUGUGUUUAUACCUGUACAACAUAAUUUUUCACAUAAUUUCUAAUCCUGCAGCAACGCGCGGGCAAAACUUUCUAGUGGGCUCUAAAGCUCAAGCGUGUGAAAUAUGAGUACAUAGAACAGGACAUUUUUAACAAGAGUGAACUUCUGUUGCAGUGCAAUCCAGUUUACAAGAAGGUUCCGGUGCUUUUUCACCGGGGAAAACCGAUUUCCGAGUUGAUUGCCAUCCUUGAAUGCAUAGAAGAAACUUGGCCAGAGAAUCAUCUGCUGCCUGAAGAUGCUUAUGAAAGAGCCUUGGCUCGGUUUUGGAUACAAUUCCAUGUAUGUCAGAUUCCCAGUUUUAAUGCAUUUUUCGGAUUAACUGCCGGAGAAGAUCGACAAAAGACAAUCGAAUCAGUGUUGGAAACGCUGAAAAUAUUGGAAGAGCAAGGGCUUGGUGACAAGAAGUUUUGGGGGUGAUAGUAUAAACUUGGUAGACAUAACGCAUGGAUGGCUGGCUCUUUAUUUCGAAGCCGUUGAAGAAAUGGUGGGUGUCAAAUUGCUCGAGCCAAGCACCUUGCCUCGAUUGCAUGCAUGGGUUCAGAAUUUCAAGCAAGUUCCUGUCAUCAGAGACAACCUUCCUAACUACCAAAUAUUGGUUGCUCAUAUGAAACGCGCAAGGGAAAUGCUUGUCCCUCAGAUCUGAGAUAUUCUGUGGAUUCAGUUUGUGUAUCAGCAGCCUCAUGACUAGAAUAAUAAUAAUGAGAAACUAUCACGUAGAUACACUCUCUCUCCUUACCUCUCUCUUUUAGGUGAUCUUAUUUCAGUUUAUAUUCUCCAACUGCGAUUGCCGCCACGGCCCCCGCGGUCACCACCACUGCCGUGUUAAACGUAAUGCACUUUCUCCCUGUUACAAAGCAUACUAUCAAGGCUAUUUGUUUGUAUAACCUUUAUUGAAUAUCAAGAGACAUCUUCUUCUUUUUUUU